GGAUAUUGAACUUGUAAAGUAUAUGUUUUGAAAACAUAAUAAAGAAAUAACUAUUCUAAUAUCUU
rnacentral:tRNA from 1 species